rnacentral:rRNA from 1 species
AUAUCAAUAAGCGGAGGAAAAGAAACCAACAGGGAUUGCCCUAGUAACGGCGAGUGAAGCGGCAACAGCUCAAAUUUGAAAUCUGGCCCUCGGGUCCGAGUUGUAAUUUGUAGAGGAUGCUUUUGGUGAGGUGCCUUCCGAGUUCCCUGGAACGGGACGCCAUAGAGGGUGAGAGCCCCGUCUGGUUGGACACCAAACCUCUGUAAAGCUCCUUCGACGAGUCGAGUAGUUUGGGAAUGCUGCUCUAAAUGGGAGGUAUAUGUCUUCUAAAGCUAAAUAUUGGCCAGAGACCGAUAGCGCACAAGUAGAGUGAUCGAAAGAUGAAAAGCACUUUGAAAAGAGGGUUAAAUAGUACGUGAAAUUGUUGAAAGGGAAGCGCUUGUGACCAGACUUGAGCCCGGUUAAUCAUCCAGCCUUCUGGCUGGUGCACUUGGCCGGCUCAGGCCAGCAUCAGUUCGGCGUGGGGGAUAAAGGUUUCGGGAAUGUGGCUCCUCCGGGAGUGUUAUAGCCCGUUGCGUAAUACCCUGUACUGGACUGAGGUUCGCGCAUCUGCAAGGAUGCUGGCGUAAUGGUCAUCAGCGACCCGUCUUGAAACACGGACCAAGGAGUCGUCCUCGUAUGCGAGUGUUCGGGUGUCAAACCCCUACGCGUAAUGAAAGUGAACGCAGGUGAGAGCUUCGGCGCAUCAUCGACCGAUCCAGAUGUUCUCGGACGGAUUUGAGUAAGAGCAUACGGGGCCGGACCCGAAAGAAGGUGAACUAUGCCUGUAUAGGGUGAAGCCAGAGGAAACUCUGGUGGAGGCUCGCAGCGGUUCUGACGUGCAAAUCGAUCGUCAAAUAUGGGCAUGGGGGGCGAAAGACUAAUCGAACCUUCUAGUAGCUGGUUUCCGC